UACAGAGGUCCCGAGCGUUGUUCGGAUUCACUGGGCGUAAAGCGUGCGCAGGCGGUUAUAUAAGACAGAUGUGAAAUCCCCGGGCUUAACCUGGGAACUGCAUUUGUGACUGCAUCGCUGGAGUGCGGCAGAGGGGGAUGGAAUUCCGCGUGUAGCAGUGAAAUGCGUAGAUAUGCGGAGGAACACCGAUGGCGAAGGCAAUCCCCUGGGCCUGCACUGACGCUCAUGCACGAAAGCGUGGGGAGCAAACAGG
rnacentral:rRNA from 1 species